GGAAAUUAAGAAACUGUUUCUUAACUUUUAACUUAAAAAAUUAAGAACUGGUUUUUAGAGUCCUUAUUUAAGAACCGGUUCUUAACUUUUUUAGUUAAAAGUUAAGAAACAGUUUCUUAACUUUC
rfam:Brassica napus, WGS project CCCW01000000 data, contig: 6516